CGUACAUUGCGCCCGCCAGUAUUCUGGCGGGCAUGCCUGUCCGAGCGUCAUUUCAACCCUCGAACCCCUCCGGGGGGUCGGCGUUGGGGAUCGGCCCUGCCUCUUGGCGGUGGCCGUCUCCGAAAUACAGUGGCGGUCUCGCCGCAGCCUCUCCUGCGCAGUAGUUUGCACACUCGCAUCGGGAGCGCGGCGCGUCCACAGCCGUUAAACACCCAACUUCUGAAAUGUUGACCUCGGAUCAGGUAGGAAUACCCGCUGAACUUAA
rnacentral:misc_RNA from 1 species